UUUCUUUUUCCACAGCCCAGUCUUCUUUCCCUCCCUCCCCUGGUCCUUCUCCUGAUGUGCAACUGGCAACUCUGGCUCAGAGAGUCAAGGAAGUUUUGCCCCAUGUGCCAUUGGGUGUCAUCCAGAGAGACCUGGGUAUGGGAAAGGGUGGCCCCACACCGGGAGAUGGGCACAGGGAGGAAAAGUGGGUUGUGAAGGAAGAAAGUAAGCAGGGAGUGGACUCCCUUCUCUUUUCUCCCCAGCCAAGACUGGCUGUGUAGACUUGACUAUCACAAAUCUGCUUGAGGGGGCCGUAGCUUUCAUGCCUGAAGAUAUCACCAAGGGAACUCAGUCCCUACCCACUGCCUCUGCCCCCAAGGCAUUCGAUGCGUGUUUAAUGAUGAUGACUCCGCAAGCCCUCUGACAUUGUGAUCACCUCAGUUUCCCAGCUCUGGCCCGGUGACCCCUC
rnacentral:sRNA from 1 species